rnacentral:rRNA from 1 species
AGCGAACGCUGGCGGCAGGCUUAACACAUGCAAGUCGAACGCCCCGAAAGGGGAGUGGCAGACGGGUGAGUAACACGUGGGAACGUACCCUUUGGUUCGGAAUAACUUGGGGAAACUCAAGCUAAUACCGGAUAAGCCCUUAUGGGGAAAGGUUUACUGCCGACGGAUCGGCCCGCGUCUGAUUAGCUAGUUCGUGAGGUAAUGGCUCACCAAGGCGACGAUCAGUAGCUGGUAUGAGAGGAUGUUCAGCCACACUGUGACUGAGACACGGCCCAGGCUCCUGCGGGAGUCAGCAGUGGGGAAUAUUGGACAAUGGGGGCAACCCUGAUCCAGCCAUGCCGCGUGAGUGAUGAAAGCCGUAGGUUUGUAAAGCUCUGUUACCCGGGACGAUAAUGACUGUACCGGGAGAAUAAGCCCCGGCUAACUUCGUGCCAGCCGCCGCAGUAA